UGUGACAUACCUAAAACGUUGCUUCGGCGGGAACAGACGGCCCUGUAACAACGGGCCGCCCCCGCCAGAGGACCCCUAACUCUGUUUUUAUAAUGUUUUUCUGAGUAAACAAGCAAAUAAAUUAAAACUUUCAACAACGGAUCUCUUGGCUCUGGCAUCGAUGAAGAACGCAGCGAAAUGCGAUAAGUAAUGUGAAUUGCAGAAUUCAGUGAAUCAUCGAAUCUUUGAACGCACAUUGCGCCCGCCAGUAUUCUGGCGGGCAUGCCUGUUCGAGCGUCAUUACAACCCUCAGGCCCCCGGGCCUGGCGUUGGGGAUCGGCGGAAGCCCCCUGUGGGCACACGCCGUCCCUCAAAUACAGUGGCGGUCCCGCCGCAGCUUCCAUUGCGUAGUAGCUAACACCUCGCAACUGGAGAGCGGCGCGGCCAUGCCGUAAAACACCCAACUUCUGAAUGUUGACCUCGAAUCAGGUAGGAAUACCCGCUGAACUUAAGCAUAUCA
rnacentral:rRNA from 2 species